GAUCUGGCAGGCUGUUCCUUACCCCAUAUUGCAAAAAUGGAUGUUUUGUUAUAAUCAAAACUGCUACGCAUGCAACAAGUUCUUCACAGAUUUGUUCUUACUUCGCCCUAAAAAUGUUCAAACGGCGCUGAUUGCAGCUCUCCAUUUAAGGAACCCAUAUUUACUUAUUUCGGCCCAUCACUUGGAAGCUAUAAUAAGUUCUCUAAUAACCUACGAGCUCAUAUGCUAUUGUUUUUGAGAGGCUCUUAUGUUGGACUCUUCAAGUGCUUCAUCAGUAGACCAAAUUUGAUUACGGGUUGUGCGAAAUUAUUUGGGAAGUUCAGCCCUGUUGCGAUAUCAGCUGCAAUUCGGAACCUAACUUGCCAAGAAAGAGGUGGGGUUUUUCCUCUACGAAAUAAACAAUCAUCUAAACUACCGUUGGCCAUGUAUUCGUAAACUAUGCACCCGUAUUCUGGGCAUGCACCUAGAAGUAGAACCAUGUUGGGAUGCCUGAUGCAACUUAGUACUUCUACCUGCAAUAAGUUAAAGAAAAUUUGAUGGUCUACAUUUGGAUUUCAAGUAAUCAUUUUAGUAGGUCCAUAUCCUCCUUCUCCUAUUUUCAGAGAUUUAGAGAACCUAUCUGUAGCUGUUUCAAUCUCUUCAAUGGAGUACUUCCUGUACAUACCACCAUGGGAUGCGCCAUUGCUAUUUCAUCAGGACUUGCUGUUUCUUCCAGUUUCUUGUCCUCUUCUAGUCUCCUUCUGUGAAGCUCCAUUGCCUAAAACAAUCAAAUAGAAGCAAUGUCAAUUAUAAUUGUACAACAUGACCUCGAGAUCUCUUUGGUCUAGAACUGUUGAUGCAACAUGCCCUCUUCAUACACGGUUCCAAACAUUGCACUUAAAAUAAGAGUUGGAUAAGAUUUAAACCCGUGACCAUUCUGUAACAUUAACUUCUGUAACUAUGUCAAAGAACCAACUCAACCAAAAGUUUAAGCUGAUGAUUGGGGUAUAAGUGUGAAACAUACUUGUUG